rnacentral:rRNA from 1 species
UACGAAGGGGGCUAGCGUUGUUCGGAUUUACUGGGCGUAAAGGGUGCGUAGGCGGGUUUUUAAGUCAGGGGUGAAAUCCUGGAGCUCAACUCCAGAACUGCCUUUGAUACUGAAGAUCUUGAGUCCGGGAGAGGUGAGUGGAACUGCGAGUGUAGAGGUGAAAUUCGUAGAUAUUCGCAAGAACACCAGUGGCGAAGGCGGCUCACUGGCCCGGUACUGACGCUGAGGCACGAAAGUGUGGGGAUCAAACAGGG